rnacentral:lncRNA from 1 species
GCAGCACUGGAUGUCCCAUUUGUUCUUGUACAAGGUCACCACUGUACUCCACCUCCACUCCUCCGGCAUCCUUUUGGUCCUGAAGAUCACAUUGAACAACCUGGAGAGCCACUCCACUCCUGACCUACCCAUGCACUUCCAGAAUUCCACUGGGAUCUCGUCAAGUCCGGUCGCUCGACCCCUACUCAUCUUAUUCAAAGCCCUCAUGACCUCCUCCGCCCUAAUGCGACAGCAGUACCCAAGGUCUCUAUGUAGCUCUGAAUGCCCCAACUCACCUAGCUCUAUGUUACGAUCCCCCUCUUCGUUAAGUAAGUCUCGAAAGUACGCCUGCCACCUCUGCUUGACUUGAGACUCCCCUAUCAGAACUCUACCAUCCUCGCCC